rnacentral:rRNA from 1 species
GAUGAACGCUGGCGGCGUGCCUAAUACAUGCAAGUCGAGCGAACAGACGAGGAGCUUGCUCCUCUGACGUUAGCGGCGGACGGGUGAGUAACACGUGGAUAACCUACCUAUAAGACUGGGAUAACUUCGGGAAACCGGAGCUAAUACCGGAUAAUAUAUUGAACCGCAUGGUUCAAUAGUGAAAGACGGUUUUGCUGUCACUUAUAGAUGGAUCCGCGCCGCAUUAGCUAGUUGGUAAGGUAACGGCUUACCAAGGCAACGAUGCGUAGCCGACCUGAGAGGGUGAUCGGCCACACUGGAGCUGAGACGCGGUCCAGACUCCUACGGGAGGCAGCAGUAGGGAAUCUUCCGCAAUGGGCGAAAGCCUGACGGAGCAACGCCGCGUGGGUGAUGAAGGUCUUCGGAUCGUAAAACUCUGUUAUUAGGGAAGAACAAAUGUGUAAGUAACUAUGCACGUCUUGACGGUACCUGAUCAGAAAGCCACGGCUAACUACGUG